ACAGGGCCAGGAGACCUUCUUCUCCUGUUUAAAAAGCCUUUAUUAGGAAUCAGCUUUGGGUGGGGGCCCGACAGGUCGCGCGCACACCGCCAGCGCUCCCUAAAGUGACUCAGAGGAGAAGGAAUACAGCUCUGCCUACGGGGUGCAAUGUAGGCCACGCCUACGGGGUGCAAUGUGGGCUGAGCCAUGGCUCCGUCCUCGCGGGUACACCCGGAGUCCCCUUUUGGCUCGAAAGUCCAGGGGUGUCUCCUCUAGCGAGUCUCUUUGCGGUCACGGCGAGGAAAGCGUUGGAGUCGGAGGGUAGUGUCCCUUUGUCCCGACCUUCAGGCAUCGCUCUUAGUUUCUUUAUUCGGUGUUCCGAUGUCCAGUAGAUUGAGUUUUCUGUCCGAGGUGGUGUUUUUUGGCAGCCGAUUUGCAUAACUCCCAAUCGCCAUUUCGGGAGGUCUCCCUUCCCCGCCGCCGCUUCGGGAAGUCUCCGGUCGCCAUGUUGGAAAUCCCCUAACUUCAGUUGUCGUGCCAGGGCAUCCCCGACCCCAGGCGCGGCAGGACAGGAGCAACGAGGGAACAGCCCGGCACCGGGUCAGAACUGGAACGCCUGGAACAGAGGCUGAACAGGACACUUGCAAAACCUGGCAAAAACCUGGCAGCUCUGGCCACCAGGGCACCCCCGGCCCCGGGCGCCCCCGGACAGGAGUAGCGGGGGGGGAAGCAGCUCGGCACGGGCUCCGAACCGGAACGCAUGGAACAGAGGCUGUAGAGAACUGGAGAGAACCUUUGUACAACAUGGACUGCAGGUGGGCUUAUUUAUAUCAUUAGUCAGAUUGAUAACACACGACUCUGGUAUGAUCCCAUGGUCUUCAUGAGGAAUUUGAGACCACAUCAAUUUGAGUUCAGCUCCUGAUCAGCUUUCAUAAGCUUGAAUGUAGGCAAAAUUGUAUUUUACAGAUGUAUUAUUUUUGAAAAUUUCCUGUCUGAUGUUUACCCAUAUACAAGUAAGUGCUGAGAUCCCCAUGUGAGGUACAGAUUGGCAAAAGCAGCAAACUGUCUGACAAGGCUCUUUGCAUCUCAAGGAGUUUCCUUAAGGAGUAGGCCAUGCCCUCAGCUGCUAUAAAUCAGUGCAAAUCUCCUGCAGUCUAGCUGAGCAGCUCUGGAGAAGGAUUGGGUUCAACCCUGCUUGAACCUACUUUCAAGCCCAUGAUGAUGGUGCUGGCUAUGGACAGGACAGGACAGUUCUGCUGGAGAAGCUGUGUCAGUUUACACCAGCUGGGCACACGGCCCAGGGCCCUCUCUCUUCCGUCUUUCCCAUGCUCAGGGAAACACAUCUCAGUGUGGAGAUAAGCCAGAGACCAGGGGGCUUGUGAC
rnacentral:lncRNA from 1 species